rnacentral:rRNA from 1 species
AAUGAAGCGGGAACAGCUCAAAUUUGAAAUCUCCGUCGCCUGCGACGGCGAAUUGUAGUUUCGAGAAGCGCUUUCUAGGCGGAACCGGCGCCGUCCAAGUUGCUUGGAACAGCACGUCAUAGAGGGUGACAACCCCGUCUGKGGCGGAGCCGGCCGCCCACGAUGCGCUUUCGACGAGUCGGGUUGUUUGGGAAUGCAGCCCAAAAUGGGUGGUAAACUCCAUCUAAAGCUAAAUAUUGGCACGAGACCGAUAGCGAACAAGUACCGUGAGGGAAAGAUGAAAAGCACUUUGAAAAGAGAGUUAAAAAGUACGUGAAACCGUUAAAAGGGAAACGAAUGGGGUUAGCAAUGCGUUGCGCGAGAUUCAGCCGGCGGGCGGCACGGACGGGCGGUUUGCGGAUCUGAAUGGACCGCGGCCGUCCGGCUCGGGCCCUCGGCCGUCGCACUUCUCGCCAGCGCGCGCCAGCGUCGGUUGGGACCGGGUCUCAAGGGCGCCGGGAAGGUAGGUGAGGCCCCUCGGGGCCGCACUGUUACAGACCGGCGUUGCAUGGCUCGGGCCCGACCGAGGAGCCGCGGCGUGUGCCUCUUCUGGCUGGGGUCCUGUCGGUCCGGUCGGUAGUCGACUGCGGUGGACUGCGUGCAGUGCGCCGCGACUGCUGCCGGUCGCGCCGGCGGUGACCUCACACCACGCGCCCAGGACGCUGGCGGUCACAUGGCCUCAUCCGACCCGUCUUGAAACACGGACCAAGGAGUSUAACAUGUGCGCGAGUCUUCGAGUGAUCGAAACUCCCGGGCGCAAUGAAAGUGAAGGCGGCCCCGCGCCGCCGAGGUGAGAACCCCUCCCUCGGGGGGGGCGCAUCAUCGACCGACCUAUUCUACUCUUAGGAAGGUUUGAGUAAGAGCGCACC